rnacentral:rRNA from 1 species
UACGUAGGGUGCGAGCGUUAAUCGGAAUUACUGGGCGUAAAGCGUGCGCAGGCGGUUUUGUAAGCCAGAUGUGAAAUCCCCGGGCUUAACCUGGGAAUGGCAUUUGGGACUGCAAGGCUGGAGUGCGGCAGAGGAGACUGGAAUUCCUGGUGUAGCAGUGAAAUGCGUAGAGAUCAGGAGGAAUACCGAUGGCGAAGGCAGGUCUCUGGGCUGAUACUGACGCUCAUGCACGAAAGCGUGGGGAGCAAACAGG